rnacentral:rRNA from 1 species
UACGUAGGGUGCAAGCGUUGCCCGGAUUUAUUGGGCGUAAAGGGCGCGUAGGCGGCUCGGCACGUCCGUUGUGAAAUCGCCCGGCUCAACUGGGCGGGGUCAGCGGAUACGGCCGAGCUUGAGCAAGCUAGGGGGCAAUGGAAUUCCCGGUGCAGUGGUGGAAUGCGUAGAUAUCGGGAGGAACACCAGUGGCGAAGGCGGUUGCCUGGAGCUUUGCUGACGCUGAUGCGCGAAAGCGUGGGGAGCAAACAGG